CGCGUAGGCGGCCCGCUAAGUCGAACGUGAAAUCCCCGGGCUCAACCCGGGAACUGCGUCCGAUACUGGCGGGCUUGAAUCCGGGAGAGGGAUGUGGAAUUCCAGGUGUAGCGGUGAAAUGCGUAGAUAUCUGGAGGAACACCGGUGGCGAAGGCGGCAUCCUGGACCGGUAUUGACGCUGAGGCGCGAAAGCCAGGGGAGCAAACG
rnacentral:rRNA from 1 species